GAUGAACGCUGGCGGCGUGCCUAACACAUGCAAGUCGAACGGAGUCCCGCCUUAGAUGCCUUCGGGUCAAUGAGGGGAAGCCUGAGUGGCGGACGGGUGAGUAACACGUGUGCAACCUGGCUCAUAGCGGGGGAUAACAGAGAGAAAUUUCUGCUAAUACCGCAUACGCACACCCUGCCUCAUGGCAGAGUUUGAAAAGAGAAUCGCUAUGAGAUGGACCCGCGUCUCAUUAUCCAGUUGGGAGGGUAAGAGCCUACCAAAGCGACGAUCAGUAGCCGAUCGGAGAGGGUGAGCGGCCACACUGGAACUGAGAAACGGUCCAGACUCCGACGGGAGGCAGCAGUAGGGAAUCUUCCGCAAUGGGCGAAAGCCUGACGGAGCAACGCCGCGUGAGUGAUGAAGGUCUUCGGAUCGUAAAACUCUGUUAUUAGGGAAGAACAAAUGCGUAAGUAACUGUGCACAUCCUGACGGUACCUAAUCAGAAAGCCACGGCUAACUACGUG
rnacentral:rRNA from 1 species